rnacentral:rRNA from 1 species
UACGUAGGGGGCUAGCGUUGUCCGGAUUUAUUGGGCGUAAAGAGCGUGUAGGCGGCCAGGUAGGUCUGCUGUGAAAACUCGAGGCUCAACCUCGAGACGUCGGCGGAAACCAUCUGGCUAGAGUCCGGAAGAGGAGAGUGGAAUUCCUGGUGUAGCGGUGAAAUGCGCAGAUAUCAGGAAGAACACCCGUGGCGAAGGCGAGUCUCUGGACAUUUCCUGACGCUGAGGCACGAAAGCCAGGGGAGCAAACGGG